UACGUAGGGUGCGAGCGUUGUCCGGAAUCACUGGGCGUAAAGCGCACGUAGGCGGAUAUUUAAGUCGGUGGUGAAAUCCUGGAGCUCAACUCCAGAACUGCCUCCGAUACUGAAUGUCUUCGAGUCCGGGAGAGGUGAGUGGAACUGCGAGUGUAGAGGUGAAAUUCGUAGAUAUUCGGAAGAACACCAGUGGCGAAGGCGACUUACUGGACGAUUGUUGACGCUGAGGUGCGAAAGCGUGGGUAGCGAACAGG
rnacentral:rRNA from 1 species